UGUCCCUGACCUGAGUAGAGGGGCAUCAAGUUGAUGGUGCUCUUCUCCUACGAGCCAGGGGGGCAAAACAACCCAUUAUUUAUCCUGGCAUGGCUUUUGGUCUACGUCCAUGCCUGGUUCAUGCCUUGGACAUAUGG
rnacentral:snoRNA from 1 species